UUCCCACUCUGAAGAAGGGAAGAGUUUCACUUUGGAAUUAACGAAGGAGGGAAUAUUUAUUCUUUAAAUAGAAAGAAGCACCUGCCACUUUUCUACCUCAAUGGGGUCCUGACCCUUUCACUGAAAUGUGAAACUUCUCUCAGAACUGGAUUUACUUUUCUGACCCUCAUCUCCAAACUCUGUGACCUCCAGAGUCCAGCCUUCCAAAUCCUCCCUCUCAACCAUUACAGUCAUUCGAUCACCACCAUACUUCACUGAACUGGUGACUUUCA
rnacentral:lncRNA from 1 species